rnacentral:rRNA from 1 species
UACGGAGGGUGCAAGCGUUGUCCGGAAUCACUGGGCGUAAAGCGCGUGUAGGCGGCUUUGCAAGUCGGGUGUGAAAGCCCGAGGCUCAACCUCGGAACUGCACUCGAUACUGCUUGGCUCGAGUCCCGGAGAGGGUGGCGGAAUUCCCGGUGUAGGGGUGAAAUCCGUAGAUAUCGGGAGGAACACCAGUGGCGAAGGCGGCCACCUGGACGGUGACUGACGCUGAGACGCGAAAGCGUGGGGAGCAAACAGG